CCUACGGGUGGCAGCAGUGAGGAAUAUUGGUCAAUGGGCGAGAGCCUGAACCAGCCAAGUCGCGUGAGGGAAGACGGUCCUAUGGAUUGUAAACCUCUUUUGCCGGGGAGCAAAAAGCGGUACGUGUACCGCAUCGAGAGUACCCGGAGAAAAAGCAUCGGCUAACUCCGUGCCAGCAGCCGCGGUAAUACGGAGGAUGCGAGCGUUAUCCGGAUUUAUUGGGCUUAAAGGGAGCGUAGGCGGGCGUUCAAGUCAGCUGUAAAAUCGCGCGGCUCAACCGCGCCCCGCAGUUGAAACUGGACGCCUUGAGUUCACAACAGGCAGGCGGAAUUCGUGGUGUAGCGGUGAAAUGCAUAGAUAUCACGAGGAACCCCGAUUGCGAAGGCAGCCUGCCGGGGUGCGACUGACGCUGAGGCUCGAAGGUGCGGGUAUCAAACAGGAUUAGAUACCCGGGUAGUC
rnacentral:rRNA from 1 species